rnacentral:lncRNA from 1 species
CAACAUGCAAUUUUUUGAACUAAAAAUUUAACAAUAAAAAUUAAAAAUAUUGUUUAAUUCCUCAUGAUAAUCAAAACCUGGUCACGAUUUUCACUAUUUUUAGGAAAAUCACGAUUUUUCAAAAAAAUUGAUCAUGAAUUAAAAAAAAAAAAAAGGCAGUUCUUCACAGACCCACCUAGCAUCAGUCAUUCCAACUAAAAAAUCCGCCUCAAAUCGAAUAAAUUACAUCAAAUUGAAUACAUGUUUUGAUAAGCAACACUAUAAAGAAUCAAUGCCCUAUAAUAUUAACACAUUAUUAUUAAAAAAUUAAAUAAAAUCGAUUGAAUUGAGGAAAAAAAAAAAAACGCAGUUCUUCACGGACAUCAGUCAUUCGAUCUCAAAAAUCAAGCUGAAAUUGAAUAAAUCGGAUCAAAUUGAAUAAAUCAGAUCAAAUUUAACACAUUCUUUGCAAAAUAUUGAGUAAAAUUGAUAGAAUGGCGGGAAAAAAAAAAAAAACAGCAGUCCAAUUUUUCUUCAUAGACAUCACUCUUUUUUUCUCAAAAAUCAAGCUCGAAUUGAAUAAAUAAAAUCAAAUUGAAUAUAUGUGAUGAUAAACAACACAAUAACGAAUCAAAACCCUAUAAAUUUAGCACAUAAUUUGCAAAAUAUUGAGUGAAUUUGAUAGAAUGGCGGAAAAAAAAAAAACACAGUUCUUAAUUGUUUUUCGUGCACCCGUGCCUUCAAAUUCAAAAUUGAUAUGUAUUCCUCCAAAAUAAUCACAAAUUAUGAGCAAAACUUCUGAACAACACUCUUACGAUCAAUCACCCUGAAAUUUUACAAAAAAUGAUGCCCUCUUUCGCUUGAAAUCAGUGAAAUGACGGAAACCUUAAAACUCACUCUUAGAUCCAAAUUUUUUUGAUAAAAAUUAGUGAUUUUUACUACCUUUUACUGACUGAAAUGACUGAAAAAUUUGAAUUAAAGCCUACAAGAUUCGAUUAUAAGGCUGAAAAAGAUGAAAAAUGAUAAGAAAAUGACAAAAAAAGAUGAAAUCCGUGAAGAACACUGUGCAGCCCGUGUUCUUGGGCGAGUCAAUGGUGUGACUCGGCGAUUCACUAUUGGGAAUCGCUCGGUUCUCUCUGGACACGGGCGAUUACCGGUUUUGUGGUGGAACUGGCACGGGUAUUGUCGAUUCCCGAGUCGAACUGGGCGAGUCCUGUUCGACUCGCUGUUUUUUCAAACCCUGGAAUAGACAUUUAUUUUAGGAUAACUAAAUUUGAGAGAGUAUGAGUACACAACAGAGAGAUGUCAACAUUAUUUUUAUAUCUCCACAUUUUGUAGAGUGUAGAGACACAAAGAUUGUUGCCAUAUCUUGAUUGAGAACGAGGGCGAGCGCACAAGAGAGAUAUGGAGAAUGGGAGAUUUUAAGAAAUAUUUGAGGAGAGAGAGAGAGUACGGACGAGAGAGGGAAUGAGAUUUCUAUGGAAACUUUUUAAGAGUAGAGAAAGAGAAUCUCCUAAUACAAGAUUUUAGGAAACUAAGAUUUUAGUAGGAUUUUAUUUUAUAGAAAUGAUAAAAGGAAAAUAGAAGAAGCAUAUAUGAAUAGAAGAAGC